UCCACCUUGCGCGACUGGCGAAGUCAGUGGGUACUACCACGAGGAAGCGCAAGAUCUCUGGCGCCACGCCACCGGAAGCGGUCCGAUGCCAGGGCGCGAUGCCCGGCCCCGGCCCCUUGCGAUAGCCGCCGCGCCUGCCGCUCGCCUGGGCCAGCGAAU
rnacentral:ncRNA from 16 species